AAUGGGCGAAAGCCUGACGGAGCAAUACCGCGUGAGGGAGGAAGGCUCUUGGGUUGUAAACCUCUUUUCUCAAGGAAGAAAACAAUGACGGUACUUGAGGAAUAAGCAUCGGCUAACUCCGUGCCAGCAGCCGCGGUAAUACGGAGGAUGCAAGCGUUAUCCGGAAUGAUUGGGCGUAAAGCGUCCGCAGGUGGCUGUGUAAGUCUGCUGUUAAAUAGUGAGGCUCAACCUCAUAAAGGCAGUGGAAACUACACGGCUAGAGUGCGUUCGGGGCAGAGGGAAUUCCUGGUGUAGCGGUGAAAUGCGUAGAGAUCAGGAAGAACACCGGUGGCGAAAGCGCUCUGCUAGGCCGCAACUGACACUGAGGGACGAAAGCUAGGGGAGCGAAUGGGAUUAGAUACCCC
rnacentral:rRNA from 1 species